rnacentral:tRNA from 1 species
GCCCGGCUGGGAUCGAACCAGCAACCCCUGCCUUCACACGGCAGGGGUCACUGGUUCGAUCCCAGUACCGCCCACCA